AUGUCCAGGAUCCCUGGGUGUUGGAGAUCAUAUCUCAGGGAUAUCUUCUGGACUUCAAAGCUUCUCCUCCUCAAGGGAGAUUUCAUCUUUCAAGAUUUUUUCAGAAAACCAGAUAAAGAAAGAGGCAUUCCUACGCUGUGUACAAGACCUCCUAGUAAUGGGGGUGAUCCACCCAGUUCCGCGGACGGAACAAGGACAGGGAUUUUAUUCAAAUCUGUUUGUGGUUCCCAAGAAAGAGGGAACUUUCAGACCAAUCUUGGACCUAAAGAUCUUAAACAAAUUCCUAAGAGUUCCAUCAUUCAAAAUGGAAACUAUUCGGACCAUCCUACCCAUGAUCCAAGAGGGUCAGUACAUGACCACAGUGGACUUAAAGGAUGCCUACCUUCACAUACCAAUUCACAAAGAUCAUCAUCAGUUCCUAAGAUUUGCCUUUCUAGACAGGCAUUACCAAUUUGUAGCUCUUCCCUUCGGAUUGGCUACGGCCCCGAGAAUCUUUACAAAGGUUCUGGGCUCACUUCUGGCGGUUCUAAGACCGCAAGGCAUAGCGGUGGCUCCGUAUCUAGACGACAUCCUGAUACAGGCGUCAAGCUUUCAAAUUGCCAAGUCUCAUACAGGGAUAGUUCUGGCAUUUCUGAGGUCGCAUGGGUGGAAGGUGAACGUGGAAAAGAGUUCUCUAUCACCACUCACAAGGGUCUCCUUCCUAGGGACUCUGAUAGAUUCUGUAGAAAUGAAAAUUUACCUGACGGAGGCCAGGUUAUCAAAACUUUUAAAUGCUUGCCGUGUCCUUCAUUCCAUUCCACGCCCGUCAGUGGCUCAGUGCAUGGAAGUAAUCGGCUUAAUGGUAGCGGCAAUGGACAUAGUGCCAUUUGUGCGCCUGCAUCUCAGACCGCUGCAAUUGUGCAUGCUAGGUCAGUGGAAUGGGGAUUACUCAGAUUUGUCCCCUCUACUAAAUCUGGAUCAGGAGACCAGAGAUUCUCUUCUCUGGUGGCUAUCUCGGGUCCAUCUGUCCAAGGGUAUACCCUUUCGCAGGCCAGAUUGGACGAUUGUAACAACAGAUGCCAGCCUUCUAGGCUGGGGCGCAGUCUGGAACUCCCUGAAGGCUCAGGGAUCGUGGACUCAGGAGGAGAAACUCCUCCCAAUAAAUAUUCUGGAGUUAAGAGCAAUAUUCAGGGCUCUUCUAGCUUGGCCUCAGUUAGCAACACUGAGGUUCAUCAGAUUUCAGUCGGACAACAUCACGACUGUGGCUUACAUCAACCAUCAAGGGGGAACCAGGAGUUCCCUAGCGAUGUUAGAAGUCUCAAAGAUAAUUCGCUGGGCAGAGUCUCACUCUUGCCACUUGUCAGCGAUCCACAUCCCAGGCGUGGAGAACUGGGAGGCGGAUUUCCUAAGUCGUCAGACUUUUCAUCCGGGGGAGUGGGAACUCCAUCCGGAGGUGUUUGCUCAACUGGUCCAUCGUUGGGGCAAACCAGAACUGGAUCUCAUGGCGUCUCGCCAGAACGCCAAGCUUCCUCGUUACGGAUCCAAGUCCAGGGACCCGGGAGCGACGCUGAUAGAUGCUCUAGCAGCUCCUUGGUUCUUCAACAUGGCUUAUGUGUUUCCACCGUUUCCUCUGCUCCCUCGACUGAUUGCCAAGAUCAAACAGGAAAGAGCAUCAGUGAUUCUGAUAGCUGCAGACCUAGUGGACAUGUCGUCCUGUCCACCAUGGACUCUACCUCUGAGGCAAGACCUUCUAAUACAAGGUCCUUUCAAUCAUCCAAAUCUAAUUUCUCUGAGACUGACUGCAUGGAGAUUGAACGCUUGAUCCUAUCAAAGCGUGGCUUCUCCGAGUCAGUUAUUGAUACCUUAAUACAGGCACGAAAGCCUGUUACCAGGAAAAUCUACCAUAAGAUAUGGCGUAAAUACCUGUAUUGGUGCGAAUCCAAGAGUUACUCAUGGAGUAAGGUUAGGAUUCCUAGGAUAUUGUCUUUUCUCCAAGAGGGUUUGGAAAAAGGCUUAUCAGCUCGUUCUUUAAAGGGACAGAUUUCUGCUCUGUCUAUUCUUUUGCACAAGCGUCUGGCAGAAGUUCCAGACGUCCAGGCUUUUUGUCAGGCUUUGGCUAGGAUCAAGCCUGUGUUUAAAACUGUUGCUCCUCCGUGGAGCUUAAAAUUGGUUCUUAAAGUUCUUCAAGGAGUUCCGUUUGAACCCCUUCAUUCGAUUGAUAUUAAACUUUUAUCUUGGAAAGUUCUGUUUUUGAUGGCUAUUUCCUCGGCUCGAAGAGUCUCGGAGUUAUCCGCCUUACAUUGUGAUUCUCCUUAUCUGAUUUUCCAUUCAGACAAGGUAGUUCUGCGUACUAAACCUGGGUUUUUACCUACGGUAGUCUCUAACAGGAAUAUCAAUCAAGAGAUUGUUGUUCCAUCAUUAUGUCCUAAUCCUUCUUCAAAGAAGGAACGACUUUUGCAUAAUCUGGACGUAGUCCGUGCCCUGAAAUUCUAUUUACAGGCAACUAAAGAUUUUCGUCAAACUUCUUCCCUGUUUGUCGUUUACUCUGGACAGAGGAGAGGUCAAAAAGCUUCGGCAACCUCUCUCUCCUUUUGGCUUCGUAGCAUAAUACGUUUAGCCUAUGAGACUGCUGGACAGCAGCCCACUGAAAGAAUUACAGCUCAUUCCACUAGAUCUGUGGCUUCCACCUGGGCCUUUAAGAAUGAGGCCUCUGUUGAACAGAUUUGCAAGGCUGCGACUUGGUCUUCGCUUCACACCUUUUCAAAAUUUUACAAAUUUGACACUUUUGCUUCUUCGGAGGCUGUUUUUGGGAGAAAGGUUCUACAGGCAGUGGUUCCUUCCGUUUUAAGUUCCUGCCUUGUCCCUCCCAUCAUCCGUGUACUUUAGCUUUGGUAUUGGUAUCCCAUAAGUAAUGGAUGACCCGUGGACUGAAUACACUUAACAAGAGAAAACAUAAUUUAUGCUUACCUGAUAAAUUUAUUUCUCUUGUAGUGUAUCCAGUCCACGGCCCGCCCUGUCUUUUUUAAGGCAGAUCUAAAUUUUAAUUAAAACUCCAGUCACCACUGCACCCUAUGGUUUCUCCUUUCUCGUCUUGUUUCGGUCGAAUGACUGGAUAUGACAUGUGAGGGGAGGAGCUAUAUAGCAGCUCUGCUUUGGGUGAUCCUCUUGCAACUUCCUGUUGGGAAGGGAAUAUAUCCCAUAAGUAAUGGAUGACCCGUGGACUGAAUACACUACAAGAGAAAUAAAUUUAUCAGGUAAGCAUAAAUUAUGUUUUUUUUCAGACAGACAAUAUAACAACUGUAGCUUAUGUCAAUCAUCAGGGUGGAACUCAGUCCUCAAGCUAUGAAAGAAGUAUCUCGGAUACUUGUUUGGUCGGAAUACAGCUCCUGUCUAAUUUCUGCGGUUCAUAUCCCAGGUAUAGACAAUUGGGAAGCGGAUUACCUCAGUCGUCAGACUUUACAUCCAGGGGAGUGGUCUCUCCACCCAGAGGUGUUUUCUCAAGUUGUUCAGAUGUGGUGUCUUCCAGAAAUAGAUCUGAUGGCAUCUCAUCUAAACAAGAAACUUCCCAGGUACCUGUCCAGGUCCAGGUAUCCUCAGGCGGAAGCAGUGGAUGCGUUGACACUUCCUUGGUGUUAUCAUCCUGCUUAAAUUUUCCCGCCUCUAGUUCUUCUGCCAAGAGUGAUCUCCAAAAUGAUCAUGGAGCAAUUGUUUGUGCUGCUAGUGGCUCCAGCAUGGCCUCACAGGUUUUGGUAUGCGGAUCUUGUCCGGAUGUCCAGUUGCCAACCUUGGCCACUUCCAUUAAGGCCAGAUUUUCUAUCUCAAGGUCCAUUUUUCCAUCAGGAUAUCAAAUCAUUAAAUUUGAAGGUAUGGAAAUUGAACACUUAGUCAUAGAGGUUUUUCUGACUCCUUGAUUAAUACUAUGUUACAAGGUCGUAAAUCUGUUUCUAGAAAGAUUUAUUAUCGAGUUUGGAAGACUUACAUUUCAUGGUGUUCUCAUAAAUUUUCUUGGCAUUCUUUUACAAUUCCUAGAAUUUUACAGUUUCUUGGGAUGGUUUGGAUAAAGGUUUGUCUGCAAGUUCCUUGAAAGGACAAAUAUUGGCUCUUUCUGUUUUAUUCCACAGAAAAAAUUGCUAAGCUUCCUGAUAUUCAUUGUUUUGUACAGGCUUUGGUUCGUAUCAAGACUGUCAUUGAAUCAAUCUCUCCUCCUUGGAGUGUUAAUUUGGUUUACAAGCUUUACAAGCUCCUCCAUUUGAGCCUAUGCAUUUUUUGGACAUUGAACUACUUUCUUGGAAAGUGUUGUUCCUUUUGGCCAUCUCUUCUGCUAGAAGAGUUUCUGAAUUAUCUGCUCUCUCUUGUGAGUCUCCUUUUCUGAUUUUUCAUCAGGAUAAGGCAGUUUUGCAGACUUUAUUUAAACUCUUACCUAAGGUUGUGAAUUUUAACAACAUUAAUAGAGAAAUUGUUGUCACUUCUUUGUGUCCUAAUCCUAAGAAUUCUUUGGAGAGAUCUUUACAUUCUUUGGAUGUGGUGAGAGCUCUGAAAUAUUUGUUAGCUUUUCUGGUUCCUGGAAAGAUCUGAAGGUUUCUGCCAUUUCCUUGGCUUCGUGGUUAAAGCUUUUGAUUCAUCAAGCUUAUUUGGAGUCAGGUCAAGCCCCGCCAUUUACUAAAUUCUAUCAUUUUGAUGCAUUUGCUUCUUCGGAAGCAGUUUUUGGUAGAAAAGUUCUUCAGGCAGCUGUUUCAGUUUGAUUCUUCUGCUUCUAAUUUAAUUUUUUCUUUUCAAAUUAUGAGACUAAACUUAUGAUUUGGGUUGUGGAUUAAAUUUUUUCAGCGGAAAAUCGCUGUUUUGAUUUUUAUCCCUCCCUCUCUAGUGACUCUUGCAUGGAGUUCCACAUCUUGGGUAUUGCUAUCCCAUACGUCACUAGCUAAUGGACUCUUGCCAAUUACAUGAAAGAAAACAUAAUUUAUGUAAGAACUUACCUGAUAAAUUAAUUUCUUUCAUAUUGGCAAGAGUCCAUGAGGCCCACCCUUUUUAUGGUGGUUAUGAUUUUUUUGUAUAAAGCACAAUUAUUCCAAAUUCCUUUUGUAGAUGCUUUUUACUCCUUUCUUAUCACCCCACUACUUGGCUAUUUGUUAAACUGAAUUGUGGGUGUAGUGAGGGGUGUAUUUAUAGGCAUUUUGAGGUUUGGGAAACUUUGCCCCUCCUGGUAGGAUUGUAUAUCCCAUACGGCACUAGCUCAUGGACUCUUGCCAAUAUGAAAGAAAUGAAUUUAUCAGGUAAGUUCUUACAUAUAUUAUGUUUUUAAAUCCCUCCCUUUGUUAUUACUUGGACUCCACAGCUUGGGUAUUUGUUUCCAGUAGUAAUGGAUUGUGGACUCUCACCACCUGUAUCAAUAUUAUGUACUAAAAUAUUAACAAAAAAUAGACAUUUAUUUAUUUUACCAUUUUCAGCUAUCUCACAUUCCAUGAAACAUGAAUAUAAUGUAUAUUCUGAAUCUGCUGGGUCUGCUAAAAAAAAAAAUCAAUAUGUUAUGUGGGGCACUCACUAAAAUAUGUCUUACAAUAGUGUUAAAAUGUAAGCACAAAAAAAACAAAAAACUUAAACCUGCUUUGUAGGGGUUAUUUACUUUUGAGUGUUACUAAUCCUGCAUUCUUUAUUUCUGUGUGUCUGCAUAAAUCUCAGAUUGACUUUUUUUUUUAGUCACCAGUUAAUUCCUCACUUUCCAUGUCCCUGGAGCUGGUAGUGUUGGGGUUAAGAAAAUUCUGCACUAAAUACUGUGAACAAGUUUCUCAUCUCAGCACAUGCACCGUGUUCCUGGUGCCUUGUGCUUGGGAUAAAGGGAUUCCUGCCCUGAUCCUCAUAUUCAUUCCUGGACUGCACAUCCCUCCUUUCAGAUACUCCCUGCCUCUUCACAAAUACUACUCUUCCCCUCUGCUAC